CGCGUAGGCGGCCAGAUAAGUCCGGUGUGAAAGUCACAGGCUCAACCUGUGAAUGCCGCUGGAAACUGUCUGGCUAGAGUCCGGAAGGGGCGAGUGGAAUUCCUGGUGUAGCGGUGAAAUGCGCAGAUAUCAGGAGGAACACCAAUGGCGAAGGCAGCUCGCUGGAACGGUACUGACGCUGUGGCGCGAAAGCUGGGAGCAAACA
rnacentral:rRNA from 1 species